rnacentral:rRNA from 1 species
UAUGUAGGGGGCGAGCGUUGUCCGGAUUUAUUGGGCGUAAAGAGCGUGUAGGCGGCCAGGUAGGUCUGCUGUGAAAACUCGAGGCUCAACCUCGAGACGUCGGCGGAAACCAUCUGGCUAGAGUCCGGAAGAGGAGAGUGGAAUUCCUGGUGUAGCGGUGAAAUGCGCAGAUAUCAGGAAGAACACCCGUGGCGAAGGCGGCUCUCUGGGACGGUACUGACGCUGAGACGCGAAAGCGUGGGGAGCGAACAGG